rnacentral:lncRNA from 1 species
CGGCCUAGGGGUCCCGUUCUUUCUUGACCUUGAUGUCUCCAGCAAGGAUGGUGGCGAUCUCGCCCUGCAUGAAGGCCCAGGGCACGGAGGAGCCCACCAGCGGGCACUUGUCUCCACUCGGGCAGUACACCUCGCCCGCCGGGCCUUGCGCCUUGAUGAACUCCCGCGAGCAGGGGAAGCAGAACUUGUGUCCGGGCACCGAGGGGCACUGGACGAAGUGGGUGUCUUCCAGCCGCUCCCGGCACAGCUUCGGCCCCGGCUGUGGGGCUGACUUCUGCCUCCCCGUUCCGGGCCACCAGGCGAUGCUGGACAGGGGGCGCAGCGGCGGACGAGGCUGCGGGGCUGGCGCCUCCUGCCCGCACCGGGCCCCCGCCGCCGCCAGGGUCCUUGGGCGAGUGGCCGAGGGCCUCCGCCACGUUCUUCAAGGCGGCGAUGGGAGAGGGCACGCCGGGGGCCUCGGCGGAGUAGGGGCCGCCGGGGGCCACCCAGUGCCGCUGCUGCUGCUUCUCCUUCUCGAAAUCCGAGCCGAAGAGGGUGUACUCCAGGGCCGGCGAGGGCAGGGGCAGGCGGCUCGAGGAGGUGGCCCUGUCAUAGCGGUCCUGGCCCGAUCCGCCGCCGCUGCCGCCGCCGCUGGCCCCGCCGCCGCCGCCGCCGCUGCCCGUGCCCGACGGCUGCGCCUGCGCCUGCGGGGGCGGCAGCGGGGGCCCCUGCGUGGCGGCCGCAGCCAAGUCCUUGGAGCUGGGGUGCUUGAGGGCCGGGGGCCCGGGCGAGCGGCCCUCGGGGAGCACGUGGCUGCGCUUGAGCUGGCGCGCGGCAUCUAAGAGGCAGCUCGAUGCGGUCCGCGCCCUUUUACAGUGGAUGAUUAACAGCUGUAGUACUAUGAUCAGGACUUCUUGAUUGGAAUGUGGAAUGUGUUAAUGC